rnacentral:rRNA from 1 species
GAUUAAUUACACUGAUAUAUUGAAAUUUCUUUCUUGAUUCGAUUUAUGCUGUCGCAUCGCGUUUCUUAGUUGGGGCGAUUUGUCUGGUUAUUUUUGACAACGAACAGUAACCCUAGACUCUUAAAUGGACGCGUGAUUCUCAGCACCUUAUAACCUUCUUUCUUAGAGGAACGAGAGGCUCCGAGUUGCAUGAAACAGAGCAUUAGCAGGUCUCUGAUGCCCUUAGAU